GACGGAGGAGGCAAGCGUUAUCCGGAAUUAUUGGGCGUAAAGGGUACGUAGGCGGCUGGUCAAGUCUGGGGUCAAAGGCCACAGCUCAACUGUGGGAAGGCCCUGGAAACUGACCGGCUAGAGUGAGGUAGGGGUUGCGGGAAUUCCCGGUGUAGCGGUGAAAUGCGUAGAGAUCGGGAAGAACACCUGAGGCGGAAGUGAGCAACUGGGCCUCAACUGACGCAGAGGUACGAAAGCUAGGGGAGCGAAUGGG
rnacentral:rRNA from 1 species